AAAGUAUAAUGGUUUAGUGGUUUG
rnacentral:miRNA from 1 species